UACAGAGGUCUCAAGCGUUUGUUCGGAUUCAUUGGGCGUAAAGGGUGCGUAGGUGGCGCCGUAAGUCGGGUGUGAAAUUUCGGAGCUUAACUCCGAAACUGCAUUCGAUACUGGCGUGCUUGAGGACUGGAGAGGAGACUGGAAUUCAUGGUGUAGCAGUGAAAUGCGUAGAGAUCAUGAGGAAGACCAGUGGCGAAGGCGGGUCUCUGGACAGUUCCUGACACUGAGACACGAAGGCCAGGGGAGCAAACGGG
rnacentral:rRNA from 1 species